rnacentral:rRNA from 1 species
CACGUAGGGGGCGAGCGUUGUCCGGAUUUACUGGGCGUAAAGAGCUCGUAGGUGGUUUGUCGCGUUGUCCGUGAAAACUCACAACUCAAUUGUGGGCGUGCGGGCGAUACGGGCAGACUGGAGUACUGCAGGGGAGACUGGAAUUCCUGGUGUAGCGGUGGAAUGCGCAGAUAUCAGGAGGAACACCGGUGGCGAAGGCGGGUCUCUGGGCAGUAACUGACGCUGAGGAGCGAAAGCGUGGGGAGCGAACAGG